UGCCAGCCGCCGCGGUAAUACGAAUGGUGCGAGCGUUGUUCGGAAUCACUGGGCAUAAAGCGCGCGUAGGCGGCGACAUCAGUCAGCUGUGAAAUCCCUCGGCUCAACCGAGGAACUGCAGCUGAAACUGUGUCGCUAGAGUGCGGGAGGGGAGAACGGAAUUCCUGGUGGAGCGGUGAAAUGCGUAGAUAUCAGGAGGAACGCCGGAGGCGAAAGCGGUUCUCUGGCCCGCAACUGACGCUGAGGUGCGAAAGCUAGGGGAGCAAACAGGAUUAGAUA
rnacentral:rRNA from 1 species